CCCUGGCUCAGGACGAACGCAGGCGGCGUGCCUAAUACAUGCAAGUCGAGCGAACCUGCAGGAGCUUGCUCCUGUUGGUUAGCGGCGGACGGGUGAGUAACACGUGGGCAACCUGCCUGUAAGACUGGGAUAACACCGGGAAACCGGUGCUAAUACCGGAUAAUCCUUUUCCUCUCAUGAGGAAAAGCUGAAAGUCGGUUUCGGCUGACACUUACAGAUGGGCCCGCGGCGCAUUAGCUAGUUGGUGAGGUAACGGCUCACCAAGGCGACGAUGCGUAGCCGACCUGAGAGGGUGAUCGGCCACACUGGGACUGAGACACGGCCCAGACUCCUACGGGAGGCAGCAGUAGGGAAUCUUCCACAAUGGACGAAAGUCUGAUGGAGCAACGCCGCGUGAGCGAUGAAGGCCUUCGGGUCGUAAAGCUCUGUUGUUAGGGAAGAACAAGUACCGGAGUAACUGCCGGUACCUUGACGGUACCUAACCAGAAAGCCACGGCUAACUA
rnacentral:rRNA from 1 species